GGGGAAUAUUGCGCAAUGGGGGCAACCCUGACGCAGCAACGCCGCGUGCAGGAAGAAGGUCUUCGGAUUGUAAACUGUUGUCGCAAGGGAAGAAGACAGUGACGGUACCUUGUGAGAAAGUCACGGCUAACUACGUGCCAGCAGCCGCGGUAAUACGUAGGUGACAAGCGUUGUCCGGAUUUACUGGGUGUAAAGGGCGCGUAGGCGGACUGUCAAGUCAGUCGUGAAAUACCGGGGCUUAACCCCGGGGCUGCGAUUGAAACUGACAGCCUUGAGUAUCGGAGAGGAAAGCGGAAUUCCUAGUGUAGCGGUGAAAUGCGUAGAUAUUAGGAGGAACACCAGUGGCGAAGGCGGCUUUCUGGACGACAACUGACGCUGAGGCGCGAAAGUGUGGGGAGCAAACAGGAUUAGAUACCCUGGUAGUCCACACCGUAAACGAUGGAUACUAGGUGUAGGAGGUAUCGACCCCUUCUGUGCCGCAGUUAACACAAUAAGUAUCCCACCUGGGGAGUACGACCGCAAGGUUGAAACUCAAAGGAAUUGACGGGGGCCCGCACAAGCAGUGGAGUAUGUGGUUUAAUUCGAAGCAACGCGAAGAACCUUACCUGGGCUUGACAUCCCUGGAAUCGAGUAGAGAUACUUGAGUGCCUUCGGGAAUCAGGUGACAGGUGGUGCAUGGUUGUCGUCAGCUCGUGUCGUGAGAUGUUGGGUUAAGUCCCGCAACGAGCGCAACCCCUAUUGUCAGUUGCCAUCAUUAAGUUGGGCACUCUGGCGAGACUGCCGGUGACAAAUCGGAGGAAGGUGGGGACGACGUCAAAUCAUCAUGCCCCUUAUGCCCAGGGCUACACACGUACUACAAUGGCCGAUAACAAAGUGCAGCGAAACCGUGAGGUGGAGCGAAUCACAAAACUCGGUCUCAGUUCAGAUUGCAGGCUGCAACUCGCCUGCAUGAAGUUGGAAUUGCUAGUAAUCGCGGAUCAGAAUGCCGCGGUGAAUACGUUCCCG
rnacentral:rRNA from 2 species